rnacentral:lncRNA from 1 species
UCAAGAGUCAGGUUUCAGCAGCUGAGUAGUUGUGGCUAAAUUAGCAACUUUUUCUUGGAGAGAAGGUUGUACGAUUUGUUACUGAUGAUGGUUACGAAGAUUAGCAAUAUAAUGUGCUUCCUUUUGGUAUUUGUGACCGACACUUUUUUUUUUUUGCGACCAACUGUUAUUGAGAUUUAAUUGUUAUUACUUCCUCAAUUUGGUCUUUAGCUCCAUGUAAUCCAUUGAGUUCACAAUUUUAUGCUUUUGGCUAUGGCCUGUUAGCAAGUCUACCCCUGUUGUUAUCCUUGACAUUAGCUUCUAUUAAAUGUAGAGAAGACUUUUGUUCCUAAAAUUUUCAAUAGCAGUAAUAUUGGUAAAAAUCAAUAUGGCAUAUGUAUAGGAUUCACUUUUAAACUCAGCAUACUAGAUGGUUGGUUAUCAGAGGCCUUGGCAUGAUGCUGGCUUUGCUUUUGAAUCUUAUUUUUGUGCACCUGGAGAGUGAAAUUGGCAAACUUAAUUGCUGCUUGUGUUAUGGGUGAGCUUUAGGUUGGUGGUCCCUGGACUGGAGAAUUUUCCAGCUAAUCUUCAUCACUUGGGGUCUUUGUUUCUUUUUUAAGUUUUCAUAUUGAGAAAAGGAAGGGUUCAUAAAUCUUGGACUUAGUCUUGUCCGAAUUCCACAACAUCAUUGGCUUCAUAAAUAAAUAUCAAGGUGGGUCAGUUAUGCAUCUGUAAUUAUCUGUCUAUCAUUGGUCCUGAUGCAGGGUUAGCAGGAUGGUGACCAAGGGGCUGCUUGUGCAUCUAGGUUGUGAUGUUGCAACUGUCAGCUCUGGAGACGAGUGCUUGAAAGUAGUUAAUAAUGAGCACAAGGUGGUAUUCAUGGAUGUGAGCAUACCCGGUAUAGACAUUUAUGCAGUUGCAGUCAGGAUACAUGAAAAAUUUGCAAGACGUCGUGAUAGGCCACUCAUUGUGGCCUUGACAGGAAACACAGACAGGGUGACAAAGGAGAGCUGCAUGAGAGUUGGUAUGGAUGGAGUGAUACUAAAGCCUGUUUCUGUAGAUAAAAUGAGAAGUGUCCUGUCUGAACUUCUAGACCACGGAGUUCUGCUGGAGGCUCAAUAACCAGAACAGAACUGCAUUCAGUAUGAAGCAGCAAUAAGGCAGCUGGUAUACCCUACAGGAGUUGCUUGUACAUACAAGACAGACAUUGCCGCCUUGAGAUUGGAGCAGUGGUGCUAAAAGGGUUGCACACAUAAUGGGAUAUGCUUGGUUGUACAAGUGAUUGCAGGGUCAUUGAUAUAGCGAACAUUGGACAAACUCACAGAAAUUUUUUCCCCCUCCCCAAGUACUGUGGAUGCUUUGUUCAUGUACUACUUAAAUUUGUCACAUGGUGUAGUAUAAUUCUGCUUUGACAAAUCAAAGUUGUAUAAAUAAUUUUGGACACUCUACAGAUAAUAACCUCCAUAUUAGCAGCUAUAACUUUUGGUGCAGCAAACAAGCUCAAUCGUGCAAGACUAGUUCACUGCAAUAAGGAGCUUGAUUGGUGCGGUGCAUCUUCAAGCUCUAUUGAAGGAGAUGAUUUUUGCAACAAAAUGUACCAUUUCUAGUGAAGACGCUUCAAAUGCUGAUGUUCUGGAGCAGAGGAGGUGAUGCAUUGGUAGUUGCCUGGGAUGCUUAAAAUAUGUUUCAUGCCCGAGAGCUAUUAGCAGAAAGCUCAGCAAUUCUGUCCUUUUUACGUAGCAGUUCACUGGCUAUAGUGCGUAGGAUGGUACGAGCCUGAAGAGGACGGUCUGACUAGCUGAAAUGUCUAACAAGUUGAAGAAAAGUUGGAACAUGAGGUUCAUGAGGGAAACCACCAGCUCUUGGGCUGGUGGUCACCACCAAGCCCUUAAGGCUUUGGUGGGGUGGGAGGCAAGGUUUUGGUGGGGUGGACCUUGCCUCUCACCAAAAUGCUACUCUUGUGGCUCUGCUUCAAAUGAGGUUCACGAGGGACAUUGAUUGACAGUGAAUUUUGAGAAAAAGACAAUUCUCUGCGUGCAAGCAAUAAACGUAUUCUUGCUCUUAUUCAUUGUUUUUCUUAUCAUACAUCUGACCAUACCGUCGGUUAAUUAUAAGUACCAUACAGUGGGUGAUUUUAGCAGGAAUAAGAAAAAGCCAGAAUAUAUAUAUCUGAAUUAUUGUCUUCAUUUGGAAAAGCAUAACAGCCAUACUCUUUUUUUCUUUUUCUUUUUUUUUUGGGUUUAAGGAUAACCGCCAUACUUUCUUCCAUCAUCGAAAAGCGUAGAAGGAUAAAAGGAGACGCCCCUGGAAGAAAAGGGGCCCAAUAUUCCAUAAGAGUUUUGAUGCUUCUGAAUUCUGACUUAUGACCUUUAUAUAUACGCGACCGCUUGUAUUUCUUAUACUAUUCUUUUGAAGAGAAAAAUGCAGUUUUAGUGCUCAAUAUUUAGUUUUUGUGCGAUUCUAGUUCUUAAAGUUUUGGAAAAAGCAAAUAUAGUCCUUGAUGCUUGGCACGCGUGCAGUUUUAGUCAUCAAAAUUUUAGCGCAUACAAAUGUGGUCCUUAAUGUUAACAAUUUGAAGCAAAUUUAGGACAAUUGAUGAAUUUUCUCAAAAAUUGAUGGAAUCAAUCACAUGCACUCACAUAUUUCUUGAAUUAAAUUUUUUUAAAAAGAUUUUAAAAAAUAGCGAGUAACAUUGAAUAAUAAGAAUAACUAACAUGAUUGCACGUUAUUAAUUUACACGAAAAAGAUUAAGUGUUACAAUUGUUUGCUUGGGGUUAAUGGAGAUAGAGAAGGAAAAUAAAUUCUGAGUUGAUGAAUUGGGUGCUUCGGCUAGUUUUAGUUUUUUUGCUUUAAUAAUUUCUUCUUUUCACUAGUUAAUUAGUUAGCAAGUGAGUUAUUACUUCUUCAAUUCAUUGCCUAAAAUUAGUUACUAUUUUACUUCUUUAUUUAUGUGACUAAAUUCUAUUAGCAAUUAAAAAAUUCUUCAAAUAUCCUUAAUCUACUCUACAAAUUUGCUCUUGUCAAAAUAUUAGGGACUAAAACUACAAAUUUACUAAAAAAUGAGGAUUAGAUGUGCUUUUGCCAAAACUUCGAGUACUAAAACCGAACUGUAAUUUUCCAUUUUUUCAAUGAGUUUUCAGUUAUUAGAUACGUUACCCCCAUGCAAAGGUCUACAACUCCAAGGUAGGAAGUCUUAACGUGGAACUUAUUAUUGAUCAGAGCAUCCAAGUAUAUUCCUUGAAGAGGGCGGCUUCACAAUCUUGAUUGGCUUUUUUUUUUCUUUUUUUUUUGGCCCACGUUUUGGAGAGACAGAGGGGGGCGUUGAAGAUAGCUGUUGAUGAAAUUUUAUACACAAUUCGAUUUUGCAAUAGCACACUAAUCUUGAUGGCUUAAAGCCCCUCCCCCAGAUGGAGGCCCCAAGAAACCACAGAAGAAAAAGUAUUCCAUCAACAACGACAUGGUCGGGGUUGGGGUUGGGUUUGGGUUGGGAUAUAAGUCCCUGGGAUUGCCUCAAGAGUUGCCGGCUUUUGAGGUUAAUUCUGGGAUUAGGUUUAUAAAACAACAAAAGUCUGAUUCAGGCUGUUGAAAAAAGACAAAUUGCCUCAGGGUUGAAAGGGUAUUGGGUGGUAGUAUCCCACUUAGCAGCAGGUCCCCCCUAUAGGUACAUUUGUCCCACAUCGGGGUUGGGGUUGGGUUUGGGUUGGGAUAUAAGUCCCUGGGAUUGCCUCAAGAGUUGCCGGCUUUUGAGGUUAAUUCUGGGAUUAGGUUUAUAAAACAACAAAAGUCUGAUUCAGGCUGUUGAAAAAAACAACGACAUGGGCUGAGAAUAAUAAAGAAAGGAAGAAAAGUGAAGAAAAAGAACAUAAAAUAGCUCUAAGUAAUAGAGGCAGACAAUUGAUUCUCAUUGUCAACAUUUUCUUUGUCCAUAGUUCUUUCGGAAGCCACAAGCCUGUACCAUAUUCCACAACUGUCAAUCAAAACAUAAAAAUUUGGUUCCAGUCUAUUGUAUGCAUAAGAUAGACCAUAUUAAAGGAUAAAUGACAACCCCCCCCCCCCUCUCUCUCUCUCUCUCAAGGUUAAAUCAGUUUUGCAAUUUACCCCCUAACGUUAUUUAUUUAUUUUUUUUACUUUAGCCCCAAAACUGUUAGUCCACUCUAACCUUGCGUAAUGGAAACGGAAAUAUCAAACAGACAUUUAUACCUCUAGAGGUUAACUCCAAUAAAUCCUCUUAAGGUUUAGCGCGUUUUACACUUUACCCCUCCAAUAUCAUUUUUCUCUUAAUCUGUAUAUUUGUUCAUAAAACCACCUAAGAUAGAUAAUGUUUAAAAAUAUCAGUAUCCCUAACAUAAUAAUGAAAAUUAUUGUACAUUUACAAAUAUAGGUCUUGUUAAAUUUUAUCUCGAUAAUUAUAGGUUUUUAGAUAAAAAAAAAAAAUAUCCCGCUCAUUUCACAUGAUAAGGGAAAAAAUAAAAAUUAUUAGUGAAAAAGUAAACUAUAAGAAUAUUAUUAAAGGUCUAUAGAUUGAGUUUGUGUGGAUUGAAGAUUAUUUGGAAAAUUUUUUAAAAUAAUAUUAUAAUACAUUUUGUAAUUUGAUGUUUGUGAAAUGAAAAAGUGAUUAAAAAAAAUAAUUGAGAAACAUGCUUAUGAUGCAACAAUUUUUUUUUUAAAAAAUUAUGUUAGGAGAUAAAGUGCAAAAUAAGAUAGGAGAAUUACUGCAUUUAACUAUAAAGGGUAUAAAUAUCCUUUUAAAAUUACCAUUAUGUAUGUUGUCGAGACAAAGCAAAAAAAAAAAAACUUUAGAGAAUAAAGUGUAAAAACAGAUAUACCUUAGGGGAGUUUUUGUAAUUAACCCUAUAUUAAAUUAUGUCAACUUUUAAAUACAUAGUUUUCCUUUUGAUAACUACUAAUUUUGGUGGUUACAACUUACAUCACAUAGUUACUACAAACAUUUGCUAGAACCAAGCGUAAUUAUCAAAGGGUGGCCAGCGGAGCUCAUUAUUAAUUAACCAGUACUAUUAGGCCAGGCCGAUGUCCUGGGAUUUUGUGACCCAAACAAAUUCCACCAAUAGCAGACUUCUAAGCUUUGCUCGAUUACCACCUUAAUCUCUUGUUUGGUGUACGUUGGAAUGGACUGCAAAGAAAAUAUCUUUUUAAUUUGUCCAUUCCAUUCCAAUAUUUGGUAUGAUUCAUUCAAGUGAAAAAGCCUUUUUCUCGAAGAAUGUUGGUUCAAACGCUCAUUCCAACCUUUUCUUGGAAUCCUAUUCUUUAAAAAAUAUAUAUAUAGAAAAAUCUUUUUCCACCUUCAUCCUAAAAGAUCUAAAUAGUAGAUUGGCAAAUUUUUCAUAACAAUGAAUUUCCCUUGUAUUACUUUUAUAUUAGGAAACAAAUGUUUUAAGAUACUUUGACCAAUUGUUUUAAGAUACUUUAACAAUUCUUUGACUUUUGACCAAUUGUGUAAGGAAUUUUUUUUUUUUUUUGAAUCUCAUAUCAAAAUUGAGAAUAGAUUAAAAAUAAAUUAUAAUUAUUUAACUUCAUGUAAUUUAUAUUUUACGUCGCUGAUUAUAUUGCUAGUAAAUGCAAUUUUAACUUAAAAGUCUGUAUAUUAGAAUGAAUUAUAAGUAUUACGAUUGAAGACUGCCUCAAUAAUGCCAAUAUAUUGUAUUAAAGUCGUAUGAAACCCUUGAGCACAUAUUCAUUUUAAGCAAGAAAUCUAUUAAAGGAAUACAGCCUGCAUGGCGGCAUGUCAAUAAUGUAAAACAUAUUCUGACCUUACUAAUGAAAUUGAAAGCUAGAUCGAGUUAAAUACUCACUCAUUGGCUAGUCAAGCUAGAUCGAGCUCAUAUAUUUUAAAUAUUUUAUAUUUUUAGUGAUAAAAAUACAUGUAUGUCUCUUAUAUUUUUAUUAGUUACUAAGAUGAAAUGUCUAUUUUAUCUUUUUUUUAAAAUAAAAAAUAUAUUUUUUAAAAUUUUUACUUGAGCUCAAAUAAGUUCGAACUCGAGCUUGAUUAAGCUCAAACUAGUGUUCGAACUCGAGUUCAAGAUCGAAUUUUAGAAUGAAAGUUUGUCGAGCUCAAGAUUGAGUUCGAACCUGACAAAAUUGAGUUUAAUUCGACUUGAUAAGACCAAAACUUGCCUUGAUUUAACUCAUUUGCAACCCUAGUUGUAACAUUGAUUUGAAGAGUGAAGGUUCAUAAACUUUCGUUUUAGGAUGAUAAAAUGGAUAUAAAGUUACGUGUUUAGUCAGCAGAUCUAACUUUGUAGGAAUGAUUUGGGAUAAUUGUUUAAAACAUCUUUUACAUUUCAUCAAAUGAAUGUUUUGUCUUUUACUUUUAAAAUGGUAACUUUAUAUACAUCAAAAAAUCAAGUAGGUAAAAUUUUGUCCCAACCUACGUUUUUUACCACUUUUUACCUUGAAUACAUCACGUGAAACACACAUGAUCAUUUUUUUAGGGGGCAAAAACGUUACAUCCUAUUUGUAAUUAAAUAAAUGACUCGAUCCAUAUUCAUUUUUGUCCAUAAAAAAAGUAGAAUCUGAUCCGAACCAUAUUCAUUUUUCCUAAAAAAGUGAAAUCGGACUCAAUUUAUAUUCAUUUUUGCCAACUUAAAUUUGUAAGGAAUAUAAAGUUAAUAUUUUAAAAAAUAAAGUAUGUAAAAUUUUUUUUGGUGAAAUGUGAGAAAUGUUUUGAACGAUUUUCCCUGUGUAGUCACAUCUUUAAGAUUUUCAAAUUCUUUUGUAUUAUAAUCUUUUCAAUUACAAAAUGAUGUGUCGUAAAUGUUAUGUUUUAUAUAUUUACCUUCCCAUUUUACCUAUUAAGAGAAAACAUAGUAGGAUAGACCAUGACAUCGUAAUGAAUAUAGUAAUCACAUCUAUAAGAGUAUCAAAUUUUAGCUGUAUUUAUUCAAUUACAAAGUAAUGUGAUGCACAAAUCCCAUAUUUGCACUUGGUUUCCCAUUUUAGAAUGAUAAAAUGGAUAUAGAGUGACGUGUUGAUUUGGCAUAGUUACCUUUAUACUAAUAAUUAAUUUUUUUUGAUAAAACAAGAACUUUAAUAAUGAAAUUGCUGAAUAUAUCCUGCACGAUAGUCACUUAUAUAAAAAUCUCAAAAUUUUAGCUGCAUUGCAGUCUUUUCAAUGAGACAGUGAUAUGGCAUAAAUAAUGUUAUGUAUCAUGGAAUUACCUUCUCACUUUACCCGUCAAGAGAAACCAUAUGUUAGCAUCAGUUUACCUGUCAAAAGAAAACAUAAUAGUCACUUAUGUAAAAGUUUUCAAAGAUUUAACUGCAUUGCAUUUUUUCCAAUUACAGAGUGAUGUGACGCAAAUGUAAAUGCCGUAUGUUUGAUGAAACUCACCUUCCUCUAUUUCAACCAUCACUACAAAACGUAGUAGUAGCAGAAUAAAGAGAUAACAUCGGCAAAAACCAAAACAAAAAAAACAAAAAGAAAAGAAAUAAGUGAGGAGAUAAAUUACGCAAAAAGAAAAAUGAAAAGAUAAUAAAAUUACAAUCCCAACAAACCCCAGAAAGAGGCAGUUACGAUUUAUGAAAACCCAUAUCCAAUGUUACUCAGAAAGAAACAAAAGCCAGGCAGAAGGCUGGUGUCAUCUUACGUUAGCACUCUUUUCUCUCUUUCUUCCCCCAUUUUUAACGUCCCUCAUCACUCACUUUAAUACGCUCUUAAAUUCAACCCCCAUCCCAUCUCUCUCUGCACAAUAUAUUGACACACACUCGCACAGUGAUAUUGACAUAGUAGUAGACUGCAAAUUGGGUACUUGUAGCCCCUCAGCCUCUCUCCCGUCCUUCUUUUCUUUCUCUCUCACCAAAAGUACACAGGGUAGAGAAAAGCCAAAGCCACCUGUUAAUACAUUUACAAACCAUCACCUAAAACCACUUCCACCUGUGAUCACAUUUGUUAUAAAAACCCUUUAAUUAAAAUUCCCUUUUUUUGCUAUUCCUGUAAUUCCUUUUGUUGUUUUCCUUCCAUUUCUGACCAUUUUCCCCAAAUGGGUUUCUAUUUAUUGGCUUUGUAGGCAUCUGCACCGAAAAUCUCACCAAGAUUUUUUUUUUUUAUUAAGAUCACCCAAAUCUGAAAAACCCUUUCUUGAUUGAUCUCUUAUAUAUAAGAGAGAGAGAUAAAGAUUGGGUUUUUUAGUGAGGAGGAGGAUAAAGAUAGGAACUUUAUUUCUGAUUGGAAUUCUUGGGUUCUGUUGAGAAAAUUAGAGUAAUUUUCUGGUUUUUCCUUUUUUGGGUGUUUUGGGGUUAUUUAUUUUAGGAGGUUCUGCUUCCAUGGCUGCUGGGACAGAAGUUUCUGGUGAGACAGCGGUGGUGGAGGUCCCUCCUGUUGCUGUUCAGCCAGAUGAAACAACUGCUGCUUCAAAAAAUAAUGUUGAUUCUAAUUCCAGAAUGAAUGAUAUAUCUGCUCCUUUAACUAAUGGUGCCAAGGAGUCUGAUUCGAGUUCCAAUAAUUCGAAUUCAAAAUCAGAACUCCAAAUGCAAGAUAUAGUUGAUAUGUUGAAGAAACUGAAGUUGAAUCCACUGGCCAAGGAAUUUUUUCCUUCUUCAUAUUACCGUGAUCAAAUGGGAGUGACUAAUUUUGUGCCAGCUAAUAUGAAUUGGGCCAAUGAUGGUUUCCCCAAUAAUCGAAGGGUAUAAAUUCAAUUUUCUGUUUGUUGUUUAAUUUUUCUUUUGGCUUCUUGAUUUUAUCAAUUUUAUUGCUUGUCUUUUAUGGUUUUUUUGGGAUGCUUGUGAAUCUAAUUUUUGCCCUGAUAUUUUUAUCCGCAAAUUUCAGUAUCAUUCUAGUUGUGAAACUGACACUGAAGUUGUGAUUUCUUAUGGGCAAGUUCUACACUUUCUGUAGCCCUUCCCUGAGUUAUAUUGGUUGUUGAAGCAUCAUGCAUUGGGGUUUUAACCUAUCUAUAAGUAGACAGCAUAUCAUCAGAAUGUUACUCCAUGCGUGAUUUGAACUAGAGUACUAAAAUGGCAUGCAGGAGAAGUUGGAAGAUUAACAUUCAAUCAGUUCGGAAUUAGAUUAUGUAAAUGCUUUGUAAGGAAUAAUUUUUUGGGAUUUCUCUAUGGAAAUGGGGUUUUGGAGUGAAGUUAAUGUUUGGCUUGUAGUCUGCAUUCAUUUGGUAACAUUACUUGAUGCAGAGUGAAUGCUUAACUUUUACCUGUCGACUUUUUCAACACAAGAUAUGAAUUUCUAAACUUGGUCUAUGAUAAAUGGUAUCUUAGUUAGUAUUUAUGUUUGUGUGCUAUCCAUUUUUAGUACUUUAUAGGUGGAUAUAUAUUGGUUUUGGUGAUCUUUCCCCUGUUUUGUUGCUAAACUAGGCUUGACACAGGGUUGUUGGUUUCUGAAGUUUGACAAUUAACAUUUGAAUUUGUUCAAGUUAGACUGUAGGUUGACCACCAAGAUUAAGUUUAUAUUAACUCACAUAUGCUAGAUAUUCUGCUUUGCAAGUUGUUCUUGUUGGAUGGUCUUCGAAGUUCUUUCAUUUGCAUCCACCUAUGUGUCAUGUUGUAACAGUUUGAUGUGGCUUUAGUUAUCUAAUGCACAUAGGUUUUUGCAGUCAGUAUGUCUGUUGCCUUAGAUUGGUUAUCGUCUUGGUGAUAAUUGCCAGCUUUAUGAGCAGUGUUUGUUUAAACAUUAACUAUGCUUAAAACCUCUGUUCUUUUUCUUUUGAUAUUUUCUGCUGAUUGACUUCCUUUAUCUCGUCAAAGAAUACUGCAGAAGCAAGAAUCUGUUUGUGUUCGGUUGUGAUGGUCAUCGAGAUCAUUGUCCGUUUUGAUAUUCUUGUAUAUUAUUAGCGUCGAUGUGUUUCUGCUUUCGCUUGUCAUUUUUCUAUUUUAAAUGUGUUCACUGCUUAAAAAUGCUAAAGUUGUUAUGGAUUUGAUCUUAUUAUCUUGAUUCACUCUCCUUGUACCUAGAUAAGAGUUCAAUAUUCUCACCAUACAAUCUUUGUGUUUGCAGAGAAGAAAUAACUACAGUCAGGGCCGGAGGCGAUUUAAUGGUAGGGCUUUUAGAGCCCAAAGAGAAGAUAGCAUCAGGCGAACUGUCUAUGUUUCAGACAUUGAUCACAAUGUAGGAAAUGAUAGAUGGCUAUUUGGUUUAACUGUCAUUUCUUUGCCUUUUAUAUUGUCCAAAAUAUGUGCUGAUGUGGUUCUUAACUUCUUUAAAUUAGAUAACUGAAGAGCAACUUGCUGCCUUGUUUAGUGGUUAUGGCCAAGUAAGUUACUGGCUUAUUUCAAUUGUUGGCAUUAAUGGUGCAAUCUUGGACGUUAACUAAAAUUUAACAAAAAAUGAGACUGUAUAAGUUAAAAUUGACUUGGGUGUUAUAUGCUUAUGUUUUUUCUUUGUUUGGGUAUCCUUUUUGUCUUGCAGGUUGUUGAUUGUCGAGUUUGUGGUGAUCCUCACUCCCGCCUUCGCUUUGCUUUCGUUGAGUUUUCUGAUGAAUGUAAGAAUGUUGUUUCAUCAAUAUUUGUUUGUCAGUAUAGCUGCCCACGCAUUUGUUUAACUUUAUACCUCUGACAUGUUAUAUGGAUUUAACUUCAACAGACUCUGCUCGAGCAGCUCUUAACCUUUGUGGGACGAUGUUAGGAUUUUCUCCAGUUAAGGUGUUACCUUCAAAAACUGCUAUCCUUCCAGUGAAUCCUACAUUUCUCCCAAGGGUAUGAACAAAAUCUUUAGCAUUUGCUGUUGCUAGUACGAGUACCUUUUUGCAAUAUGGUUUACUCAAAAUGUAUUCAAAUUGUGACUUUGACUUCCUUUGACUUUAUGGAUUCUUUCUGUAUAGUCGGAGGAUGAACGCGAAAUGUGUGCUAGGACAGUUUACUGUACAAAUAUUGAUAAAAAGGUAUAUCUUCAAUUCUUUGUACUGGGAUAUUAUAAAUCUUGAUGUGGUAUUACUAAUUCAUGUAUUUUCAUAAGUGUUCUUUAUCAUGCAUGGCUUAUUGCAGAUUGCACUGUCUAGCUUGCGAAGUUGUUGCAUUUGUAUGACCUGAUUGUAUUAUUUGUCUUUGAUGAAGGAUUAAUGAAGUUUGUCCUGUACAGGUGUCUCAAGCUGAUGUCAAGAACUUCUUUGAAACUAGAUGCGGUGAGGUCAGUAAGAUGCAAAGCACUUCCUCCUGUAUUAUGGUUGUUUUGAAGUUAUCAACGAAGGGAUCCUCUUCAUUGACCUUAGAAGUUAUUUUGUUACAGGUUUCUCGCCUGAGGCUUUUGGGAGACCAUGUGCACUCAACUCGUAUUGCGUUUGUUGAGUUUUCUAUGGUAUGUUUUGACGUACCAUUUUUUUACCUAAAAAUUAUGAAAGAAGGGAAUUGUGAAUGGAACAUUGGAUUUGUUUCCUCACUUUUCUGUUUCUGCUAAUGUAAAUAGAUCACUAUCCAUCCUUUAUUCUUUUGCAUCUUUUCUACAUGCUUCAAUUUGUAUGACUGGGUUUUGGCGAAGUGAGAUGAUGAAAUGUGGAAAAUCAUUGGUGCGAACCUGGCUUGUACAUGCUUGAAUCUGUCACUCAGACAACUGUAGAUUUUGCUUUAUGAUAAUACCUCAUUCUUUCCAUGUCUUUCACCUAACGAAGUCACUGACCAUUAGAACAAUUUAUUUUACUUGUUUUCUGUUGUGCAAGCUCUAUUCUGAUGUAUUAUUUUUCAUACCACUUUUAUUAGCUCCUUUUUUUUUUCACAAAUGUGCAUAGCAAUCUUGUUUUUUCAGACUUUGGUAUGUUUCAAGGAAUGUUUUAACAUCUAAGUUGACAGAUGGCCAAGUAUUAUGUUCAUUGAGCUGGUGUGAGUUGGAAUUUCAUACUUCACGAGCUCAUGUUGCGCAAAUAUAGUGCAUUACAUGUACAGUCAGAUUGUUCUCCUUAUUUCCCCGUCCCCUUGAAAGGCUGAGGAUGUGGAGGGGAACAUUUAUCACUUAGCCACCUUAUUAAGGAUUUUUCCCUUCCUCUUCAGAUUUAUGUUUGGGUUGAAGAAUACAAAUUCUUGAGUUGAUAUCUUUCUAGGUUCUUUAUGGAACUGCCUUCUGAUCAAAUUUCUCAUUUUGAGUGACUUGCACUACACUCUUAACUAUGAACAACAACAAUAGAUGCUAAUUCUUUUGGAACAAUAAGACUCUCUUCAAGUGAUUAAUUCUUGUUUAUACCGUUAAUUUCUGCAUUUUGUAUUUCUUUAACUGUGCUUAAGUAUAUGUGACUGUACGAGUGCUUAAGUAUAUGUGACUGGACAGUGUAAGAAGGUGUGCAAAGUGAAAUUUUGGGUCCUCAACUUGAAGCUUGUUUACUAAACCAUGUUUGAUAGUUUUCAGGGUCUUUUUAUGGUUUAUGAUGCAAUUAUUCCACCAGUUAUAUUCUACAGAAGAAACUUUGCAAUUAUCCCACCAGUUAUAUUCUAUUUAUUUGUUUAUUUGUUUGUUUAUGUCGAUGAUGAGAGAGGUGGGCAUGGGACAUAUGGAUACAUUAGAGAGGCUGAGAAUUGAACCAUUGAUCUUCCAAGCAGGCAAGCUUGGAAGGCACUUGGCUAUUUGGGAAAUUCACUGCAGUUUUAUGUUAUUUUUUGUUGAGAUGAUAGAUAUUACUUAGGCUUCCUGCAGGUUCUUUCUUGUUUUGUGUUUUGAAAAUACUUAUUCAUAUAUGUUAGUUUCACUAUGCCUUAAUACCAGACUGAAGUUAGUUAUAUAGUUUUAAGAGAACAAAUUAACACUAGUUACCAUAGGGUUGUCUUUUUUUUUUUUAAGGCAAUGUUAAAAUUUGGAAACGUUUUUUGGUAGGAUAAAUUGGAAUUCAAAGCAUGAAACUAAUCAGUUUUUGUAUGGUUACUUGAGUUGAAGGUACUCCAAAACUUUCAAAAUAAUCUGUCCUAUUAUCAACCUUUUUGGGAAUGCCAAUAUAUCAAUGAUAUGACAAAUGCAAUGUCUGAGAUGCAUUUGAGACAUCAUUCAUUUGUUCUUGUUUUCAAGUCAGAAGUUCGUGGAAGUUAGCAAGUCAGGUGUAGAGAAAAGCAGCUGCUAACAAAUGUUAAAGAGGAAGAUGACUAACUUGACAGAUGCUUAUGAAUAGGAUUUUUAUUGCACCGACAAAUGAAGUUGAUUCUGUUGGCCUGUCUUUGUCAGUUUUUUCCAAUUAUGAUUUUGUCUACAUAUUGAUGCAGAUUCUUAUGACAUUUUUCAUCACCUUCCGAAAUCAUUUUCAUGUACCAUCAUGAUGGUUACUAGAUGAUGAAGUUAGAACAUCUAUACUAGAGGUGAAAUAUAUAGCACAUUGGAAAAGUAAUACGUUCUUUAAUUUGCAGGCUGAGAGUGCAAUUGUGGCGCUGGACUGUUGCGGUGAAAUACUGGGGUCCCAGCGCAUUAGGUAAAGUUAUCAUUGGAGUGACAAAAUUGCCAAAGAUUCUCAGUUCUUGAAAUUUGGCAUGUUAAUAUGAUUCUGACAUUGUAGGGUGAGUCCUUCAAAGACACCUGUUAGGCCCCGCAUUCCCCGCCCUGUUCUGCACUAGCUGAUCUUUGGAACCAAAGAUUGGGAGGGACUUUAGCGCUAAUUUUGUUGGAAGAGAAGUUUGUCCUGAUGGAGGAGGGGUGAAACACGCCUUCCUCAUUGUAUUUCCAUCUUUCUGGCAAUAGUACCUUUUUUCCUGCUAUCAAGCAUCUCUCUUAACUCUCUGUUUAAUCAGUCUUAAGGAUUGUCGCAAUCCUGAGCACUUUUACCAGAAUGGAUGAUGGAUUAUUUUGUUUCCGCGAUUAUACAGAAACAGCGUAGUCCACAUUUUUGAUGAUUGUGAGUAGAAUUCUUGCAUGUUUAUUUCUUGCCAUUGUGUCCUUAGAGGAUACCUGUUAUUUGUGUGAUGCCACAUAGUUGCUUGCUACUGCAUAUGAUCUUUUUCCAUAAUGGAAAAGAAAUGAUUAAAGUUCUGUAGAUAUGAAACCACUGGUUGAACUUAAAAUGUUAAAUCUCUGUCGAAUUCACCCAUUCGCUAUCUAGGAAGACGGUUCUAUUAAUGUCCUGCAUAAACCAACUGUUGAAUGCUGAUAUCCGCAGCUAGUCAGUUCCUGUAGUAAAAUUCCUGUGCUUGAGACCAGACAUCAGGACAUGAAAACCCUCUUAGCUUAUUUUGUCCAAAAAAGAUCUGUAACUCUGUAGCAGUAGAUGGUGGUAAGGUAUGUUAGUGCUCUUUUUGCUCCUCAUCUUCCAUCCCAAUGGGUCAUCUAACUGGUGAGGCUCGGGGUAUUUGACUCGUGAUGGACUUUACUCAGUUCCAAUUUAGAUGAGUUAUUGUACUCUUUCCCCUGUUGGAGCAUAUUUAGAUCAGCAAUUCUAGAGGCUUGUCGAAAAGGCUGUAAAGCGAGUAUUCUGUCUUGUCAGUCAUCGCCUAUGGUUUGAAUCAGCUAUAGCUUCAGAGACAAAUAUAAGCUGCUGGUCAAUCACCGGGGCUCAGCACCCUUUGACUCUACAACAAGGGGUGGGUGGCACCUGCUCGUGGCGUGGGUGAGGAAGAAGCCAGGAAGAAAGGAAGUCUUGACUCUGGGGAGGGAGAUUGCAUUUCCUAUUGUUUGCUCCCUAGUUCUUUUGAUCUUGCGUGCUAGAUUGUGCUGCAGCAGCUAAUGUAGGAAUUAUCUGUACAGAGUUUCCUCGAGAAGAAAAGUAGUAACAAGGAGAGCUGUAAACUAUUGAUUCGAUCAUUUGCCUAGUUCUGAAAACAACCGGUUCUAGAAAGUAAAUGCUCCUCGUCUUUGGUGAUGAAGCUAAAGAUUUCGUGGAACUUUGCAUUGAAAAUAAGAAAACAUCAACGCAGGAAUAAGUUCCAACUUUUCAAAACCUUGAAAACGAUUGUGGAUGGAACGUAAUAAAAUCUGUUCACACGAGAUUUUCAUCUUCAAAUUCAAUACUGAAAGUGUUUUUGGAUAGCAAAUUAUUGUAAAUAAUAUUUGACCUGCAUUAGAAGUAUAUUUUUCAUCUAUUUUUUUUUUAAUUUCACGUACAUCACAUCAUAAAAAAUGUUACAUAAAAAGUGUUACAGUCAAAUAUAAUUUUCAUAUUUUUCCGGUCUUUUUAUUUGAUUCUUUUGUUGGACUUGAGGGCAACAAAGAACCUGAAAAAUGAUGGAGACGUCUUGAUUUGGCCACAUUAGCUGGCUACUUCGAUGUAUGCAUGAAGCGGUCUUAGUUGACAGCCCGCGUGGUCAAUUUGUCCGUAGAGCACAAAAGCGUGGCUCUAAAAAAGAAUUAGGGGACCAUGCAUAUUAAUCUUCUUGGACCCCAAACAAUAAAGAACUCAUUUUGAUGCCAUAAGAAACAACGCUUUCUUCUGACCAGUGUAUGAACACAGGUCCACUUGUGCAACUUUUUCUCCAUUUUAUAUCUCUUCAAGUCACUCGUAACUUGAUCAAUAAUACACACCGUCGAUAUAUAUUUGUAUUUAAGUUAAUACUUUAUCACUUAUUUUUUAAAACAAGUUUUAUUUAAAAAAUUGGAUGCCAUUUAAUUAAUUCAGAUGUUCUAUUUUUUUAUUAUCAAACGUGUUAAACUUUGAAUCCAUUAAAUUUAAGUACUGAAUUGGAUUAUCAAAUAGGAGCUAAGUUGGACUUUAGAAAAAUUGAACCUCUUCUCUCAAUUACGAAUAACAUUAUUUAUUGACAUGAAAUUCACCCGCCACAAAAUGCAGCGACAUCAUCAUCUCUUUCAAUUGAUUAGUAGAUGAGAUUCCCUUAUUUUCAUUUUCUCUUCAAAAAAUAUGGAUAACUUCAAUUCUUUCCUAAUAGUUGAGCCUAUUCAAACUAAGAAACUGAAUUUCGGACCACCUCCAAAAAAAAAAAAAAAAAUUCAGAAAGGUUUGUCAUUAUAAAUAUGUAUCUAUACACAUUAUUGAUAUCCUUGUGUUUGUGGUAUAAUGGUAUUGAUGCGUAUUGAGACGCUAUUGUUUGACAACCAUUAUACUACUAUUUUCAGCUUCAUGAUUUCUUCUUCUUGUUGUUAAACAUGCAAAGUCCACAAAAUUUCAGAAGGUUCAUGCAUGCACUUCUUUUUGUUAAUUGUAUUAAGGGUAAGGCGCAUGCACUUCUAAUAUCGUUUUUUCUGAGUUCAUACUACCUAUUAGUAGUUAAUUAGACACUAUAUAUGGAUCAAACCCGUAAUAAGAGAAGCUGUUGUUUGUUGAAUUAAUUCGAGGAAAGUGCAGUUGAUUAACAUAACCAAACGUGGUAUUAAGUUGCUUGCAAGUUGUCAAGUGACUCAACUUGUGGCUCUGGUUUUGGUUCAAAGCGUAUAGUAAUCCCACCAGCAAAGGGGAGGGCAGAAUGACAAAUGACUCUCUGAUUUUCAAAUGAUUAAUUACUGUCAUUUAGGACCUCGUCAUGAAAUUUAAUUAUGUUAAAAUUUUUUAUUUUCCUGGAUUUCUUUCUUGAGGGUGGAGGGAUUUAUAAAAGUUUUUUUUUUUUUUUUUAAAGAUCUUCAAGAAACCGUGGCAGGCAACUCUAUUGACUUGUGCAACGAGUGUGGCAAUGAAUUUGGUAGGAAAAUAAACGAGAAACUGUAUUACUGUUUCUUCCACGCAUACAUUAGGACGACCUUUUCUGAUGUUUCAGCCCGAAUAUGUUGUAGUCAGAGUGGAUCUCAUUUGUGUGACUGCCUCAAAACUUCUACAUUAAUCCACAUGAAAUUUCUUUUUGUUUUCCAAUAUUUAACUGCUUGUUUUGAAGCUAGCAUCAAUUUCUAGAACUGGGAAUUGGUAGAUUUACGCCAAAACUAGCUUAUGUCAUCCUUAAUGAAGACUCUGUUUUUCUCUCAUGAAAUACGUUUGUGACACAAGCUGAUCUAUUCUAACCCUAAUGCUGUACAAUUUUCAUUGCUAAUAGCGCAAGUCAUCAUUACAUCAAAGGUUUAAGAUUUGAGAUGGAGAGGUGUGGACACAAUCGCUUUGAUUGCAAUUUCAAGAGGCUAAAUUAAAUCAUCUCUUACUUUAGGAAUGAAAUAGAUUGAAAAUUUUUACUAUUUGAUCUACAAUCUACAUUUGUGCUAUAACUUGAGUGGUCCAUAUUAGGACUGCAAACGAAUCGAAUCCCGCAUCAAACUUGAGCUCGAGCUUGAUAUUUUGAGCUUAUCGAUCUCAAACUUGAGUUCGAGCGUUGUCAAAUUAUGUUAAAACUCGACUCGAUUAGAUCGAAACUCGAUUCGACUCGACUCGUUGACACCCCUAGUUCAUAUGGAUAAGGAUCAUCCCUCUUUCAAGAAACCUACUAGUAUCUCUUUUUUUUUUCCAUUAUCCAAAAUGAAACGUGCAUCUACCCCCAAAAAAAAAAUGUCUUGUUGCACAAGAUGUAGACUUCAGAACUUUCUAUUCUCAGGCAUGGGAAAGGGGUUUAAUUCUUGUUUUUUUCCUUUUAAGUUAGGGCUGCAAGAAGUGAUUUUGUAAUCCAGUUUUAGCUGUCCACGUCUUAUUUGUGGAAUUUUGGUUCUGGGAAAUUAGCAGGAAGCGUAGGAGAGUAAUUGAACCACGUGCGCAGUCUCAAGUAUGUUUGGAUAAGAAGUUACAUUUUAGUCCGCUGCUGGAAGGUAGAAACUAGAAACAAAAUCUUUUGAUUGCCGUUUAAGAAACGUAAACAAAUAGGUCGUCUAGAUAAAAUAUUCCCACACACAUGCAGUUAAUUAUUGCCCUCAUGCCAUGAUUUAUUUUAAAACUCAUAUUCUAUGCUGACCAAAGUAGUCAAAUUCAGCAGCUUUAGAGCAUAUAGGAGGAGUAAUUUUUGACUGAUUAACGGGAUUUGAUUUAGCUCUAAUCUGGCCACUAAUUUUGUGGGAGUUGUCAAUCCUAAUAUCCAACAUUAUGGCCACAUCUUGAGUUGGAUCAUUUAAUUGACAAAAUUGACUCUGGAGUUUUGAAGAGUUCAAGUUACAGAAUUCCUUUUUUUUUUUUUUGGCUCAUUUUGGAAUUACCUGCAUCAAGAAUUUCAUUGUGUGUAUUUUUCACUGUGCAUAACUUUGAUUGCACACGGUGUAACUUUCUUUGCACGACGUAAUUUUAGAACAAAUUUUUGUGGAUCUCACACACGGCGUGAAUUUCACCCUUCAUACUACAUUGAACUAUAAAUGAGGGAUUACUUACAUAUGCACAUCAUUCUUUCUAUGGUAGAUAUUUUUGGGCAUUUUACGUAGACUUGUAGUCAUUGUUAAGAACAAAAUUUGAAUGGUUCCUUCGUCUAUACUCAUGAAUUGUUCAAGUUUCCAAACAUCUAGAAAUUUGGUGUGAAUGAUGAACAAUGAAUCCGCUAGACAUGAAAUCAUUGAUCACGUUAUAAGAAAGUGUGGCUGAAUACUAGUGGCCGCUAAUGUUUACUUCAUAUCUUUUUCAAAGUUUAGUAGAGUUAUAAACAUGAAGAACUAACCAUACAAGCAAUCGCAAAUUAUCAUUCCCGAACAAGUUGAGACGCUAAAUUCCACAUCUGUGAACAAAAAAAAAAAAUUGAUGACUCCAUUUCUUGAAGGAAGACAUAUUAGAUUAUCGUACAGAAACAGAAUACUAUUUCUUAAUAGUAUUUUGUUGACCACCCUAUAGUCUAUUCUUUCGUGUCUAUAAUCUACUAGCAUCUGUUUUUGCGAUAACUUUUUAUAUAUUGAUGGUAUAGCGAUUUUUUUAAUACAAACAAUUUAUGUCACGUGUAUAUGAUUUGAAUUUUAAAUUUAAAUUCUUGUUACAUAGUAUGAUCUAAUCCUGCUAGUAUAAAAAAAAUUGUAUGGAGAUAGUGUACAUAAAACUUUUUUUUUUUUGGGCUGAUGGGAGAUAAAACAUUGACCGGAAAACCUUUGUGCCCUGAGAGAGAGGACUAUCCGCAACUUGCAUCGUCUUCAAUUAAAAUUGGGCUUCUAACUAUUCCUAGUUUUAAAAUCCAAGAGCCGUACUAUUUCAUGACUAUGGAAACAAUAUAGUAACGGUAAAAAACAAGCGAUAGCUGCGAAGACAAAUUGGUGGCGGUCAAAAGAAAAUUCCCUUUUUUUUCUAACUACUUUGUUGUUUGGUCCAAUUAAAAAAAGGUAAAUUAUACGAUUGGAGCUGGUAUUGCAAAAUGAUACACAAAUGAUUUUUUUUAGCAUUUUAAUCUAAUGAAAGAUUAUUAAAAUAAGUCAUUCUUUUAAUUCUCCUCUAUUAGAGAAUAUCAACGAUGAAAAAAAGAAAGAAAGGAGGAUCAACAGUGAAACUCCAUCUAACCCUAAUUAACUCAUCUGUGUAACUUGUAUUAGUAGUUUAUAGGUAUGCUGUAGGUUAUCUACAAAGCUUUAUUGAGUAAUAGACUCAAUAAAGUAAAAAUCCUAAGGAAUUAAUGCCUGAAAUUUUUCAAAAAUAGUUUUGAAAAAACUAAUUUGUUGACAAAAAAAUUAAUAGAGAAAAUAACUAGAGAUGAGCUUAUAUGCUUUUCCAAUAUAGAUGCAAAAUAUUUUCUUUCUGAAUAUCGAAAAAUGUUUCACAGUCGAUAACUGAAUAAUUAAUUGUUGAAAUUACAUUAUGGAAAAAAAAAACUAAAUCAAGAACAUGAGCCCCAAUACUAAAAUAGACCAAUAAGUACUAGCACUUGUACAAAAGCACAUGCAACAAUUUAACAUACAAAGUGGAGGCUCUAGCUUCUUAAUCCUUAAUGAAAAAUUCUAUAAUCACUUUUGAGAACCAUUCCAUCAAUUUUUAUCUCUCAAUGAUGAUGGUAUUUCAGAUUUUAAACGAUUGAAAAUAUUACAAUUUAAGGAUCAAAGUUACUUUUUUGUUUUAAAUGUAGGUAGGGUGUCUUGAAACCAAAAUUCUUCAUUUACACUCUCUCUUCCCCGACCCCGACCCCAACCCCAACCCCAGGGUAUAAACUUAACCUAAGGACAUGAUAUUUAAAAGAGAACCAUAGAAUCUCCCAUAAUUAAUAUGGACUAAGCUUGAACAUAGUCCCAACUAGUUUAGCAAAUUAAUUUCGGACUUCGGUUUUGACCCGAAAGAUGACCAUGUAACUUCCUGGCAUCUUGCUUGCUUAAAAUCGUGGUUUGACGCUUGACCGAAUCCCUCUGGUCCUUCUAGACUGCUGCCCAAUUUUACAACGGUCAACUAUUUCAUCCAAUACCCCUCAAAAAAAAACAAAAGAUAUCUCAACUGUCAAUAUUGAGACACGUACAUGUUUCAGAUUCACUAUAAAAACCCACCACUCGUUUCAUCCCAAUCAUCAAUCAUCACAAAAAUCCUCAAACAUCCAUAUUCUCAACUUUCACAAACGUCACAAGUUUUUCAUAUCAUCCCAUCCCACAAAGAAAAACCAGCAGCAACUUUUUAAUUUCAUCACUAUGUCUGGCUGCUACACUACUAGAGACCCUGUGAAGGUAGUGAUAAUCAAUACACAGUACGUGGAAACUGAUGCAAUGAGCUUCAAAUCAGUUGUUCAGAGGCUUACUGGGAAGGAUUCGAAAAUCGAAAUCGACCCUUCUUCUAAUUAUUCUUCUGCUUCAGGUUUUUAUGGUAAUAAUAAAGAAGAUCAUCGUCAUCAGCAGCAGCAGCAGCAGCAGAUGACAAGAUAUGGAUCUGCAACAGGUUUACAAAUGUCGGCCAAUGUUCCAGUUAUGUCUCGAGGGUUGUCGUUUAAGGAUUUCGAUAGGUUGCUUAAGGAGUUGCCCCCAUUGGACGAGCUUUUCCGGCUGUGUCCAGAGUAGUAUGCAAGAACUUUUUCAUCCUAAAAACGAAAAAAAAAAAAAAAAAAAGCAAGAACUUUUCUUCGCAAAUACAUUACAUUUACACAUAUCAUGUAUUCGUUUAUUCUUUCUUAAUGUAGCAAAAAUGCUAUCUUCUUUUGUGUAAUUAUCUUUCAUGUGUGUAUGAGAUCUUCUCUACAACGUUUCAGCAUUUUUAGAUGCGUUUAUGAGUGGUUAGGGUGGAAGGGGCGGCGGAAGGCGGCUGGAUGGAGGUCAUAAACCUUCUCGCUGCGAAUGUUUAACCUAUUGCUAAUAUGUUUUGAUGGCUGUUUAAUAUUGGUUAAACACAAAAACAGAUGAAUUUUUUAUGCAAUUAGAUGAGUAAAAUGGUUAAUUUACGGCGGGAUUGAUUUUAGCUGUAGAAGAUAAAGCACAAAAUAUGUUGAGUUUGCUACAGGCUACAUGUACCAGAGGAAUAGUUAAUGGGUUUAUUUGCCACUAUGCAUGUGCUAAAUCAACUGUUUGUGGUAUUGCUGAAAAAAUAAAGUGCAACCAUUGUAACCAAAGCUAUUUUUGAAAAAAAGAAAAUAAAAAAAUCAUUUGAGUUUUUUAAAUUUGUCUUCUUUGUAGUUGAUACAAUUAUUGGAAUUGACUAUCUAUAUAAAUAGGACCUUAAAACCUUUUAAAUAAUAUGCAAACUAAUUUAUGUUCUUAUGUGCAAACAACAAAAAUUUAUUUCAGUUCUUACGAUUUACGAUAAGAAUUCAUGUUUCAUACACAAUCAAUGUAUGGAUCUUUGUAUGCUAAGAUGUUAUGAUAGAUAACAUAUAUACCAGAGAGAGAGAAUUUGGAUUAUAUGGAUAUCUAUAUAUCAUGCAAGAUUCAUGAAAAUAUACAAAAAGAGAAUUUAAAAUUUAAAUGGAUAUUAUAUGUCAUGCAGCCUGGUCUACAUUAAAACAAUUUUACAUAAAGGUGUAGGAAAAAUCAAUCCAUAAGUUUACGCAUAUGUAACCUAUAUUUAUGGAAAAUUCAUCACUAAAUAAGAGAUAAAUUAUUAAGGGAAAAUGACCUGUUUCAUCCCUUACAUUUCACAAAAAUAUUUUUUUCAUCCCUCACUUUUAAAACGAAGCAAUUUGGUCCCUGACAUUUAAAAAUUAAACCUAUUACAUCCCUGAAUCUAAUUAUCAAUCUAAAUCAAACCAUCUAAUAACCCAAUGAUAAAUUUCGAAGAUAGAAUUGAUAGAUCAUUCCGUCAACUCCAUCAUAUUCACAUGACAUUUAUUGAACCAAAAAAAAUAAAAAGUAUAAGAUCAUAAAAGGUCAUUCUUUGUCUUGAAAUAAUAGAAUUUUUUUUUUUGGUAAAUCUUUUCAUGUACCGUUAGUAUAUACGCUUGCGAGUCUAGAUGUAUAUCACAAAUACAAAAUGUGGCGUUUAAAUUUAAAUUGAAAUGAUGUGGCAGGUACAUAAACCCAUCAGUGUAUACAAUGACAUUGUAAAAAAGAUUAAUUCUUCUUUUAGAUGUUAUAAUUUUUUAUUUUUUAUUUUUGGGUUCAUUAAACUUCACGUGAAUAUCAAGUUGAGUUAGUCAAGUGAUCUACAAAUUAUACCCCCCAAAAUUUGUAAUUAAGUUGAUAGAUGAUUUGAUUCAGAUUUAUAAUUGGGUUCAAGGAUGUAAUAGGUUUAAUUUUUAAAUAUCAUGGACCAAAUUGCUUCGUUUUAAAAGUGAGGGACGAAAAGAAUAUUUUUGUGAAAUGUAAGGGAUGAAACCGGUCAUUUUCCCAAUUAUUAAAUAUUUAUUAGCUUACAAAAUAAAAAUUUGUACAAACAUUAUAACAAAUUUUUAUUUUUAUUUUUAUUUUUUUUCUACUCAGGGGGUAUCCGGGCUUCGAGUAUGCCGGACCCGACUAAUUCCCCUGAGGCCCGAGAGGAGAGGCCCCAUCCCCUCGAACCGGUAACCACUGGAACUCGAUUCCUGGUGGGGGAGAAUGGACAACAGGACCUUAGGAGACUUCUCGUGACCAAUCGAGCUGUCCAGGAGGGCUUAUAACAAAUUUUUAUUUGUUUGAACGGAAAAUAUGAAUAUCUAACAAAUGAACAGUAUAAUUUCUAAUCGGAAACCCGUUAUAAACGUCAAACCCACAUGGGAACUUGAAGAACUAUAUAUAUAUAUAUAUAUAUAUAUAUAUAUAUAUAUAUAUAUAUGAACGUAACACAUAGCACAACGGAGCUUAUGUGUAAGCUUCCAAACCACAUGGUAGUCUUGUGUACUUUCUCUUCUGGCCUUUUUUUCCCCAUCGAGGAGCUCACAUUCUUGAGAUAAAAUCGCUUGUAUCCGUAUUUCUUUUCCCCCAACUAACAGAAAAUUGGUACUCAAAAAAGCAAGAUAAGGAGGGGCCUGCAAGCAAUUUGGCCAUUAUGUCACCAAAGUACAAGAAGAAUAAGUCCGAGGGCGCAUGCAUUUGGUGAACUUUGGCAGCCCAGAAUAUGUUUGGUGAAACUGUAGAAUGCUCUGCCCCGAGAGUUGCAACUACAAAAUGCUGAUUCUGAUCUAAGUCAGUUAGGUGCAUCAUCUCAUUUCUGCCAUAAAACAUUAAAAAGAAAGGAGAUAUUCGCCCAAUCCCUUCAAAUUCUCCAUCUUCUCCUAUACAGACAAGAAUAUACAUAUCCAUCCCUUUUUUUUUUUUUUUUAACAAGUGGGCUCAAACUUAAAUUACGAAGCCAAUUUGGUCAAAGUGUCACUGCUGCCAAAAUACUUAAAUGGUCUAAAUGCAGUAAUUUAAUCUAUCUCUGGAGUUUUGCAGGUCAUUAGACUAUUUAUAUUGUGGUUAGGUUUCAUUAGGCAGGACAAACUCCCGUACCAAAGCACAACAGGCAGUAUUUGCCAACGUUGAAAAUAUAUAGGAGGGGAAGCAACUCACAAAUAAGGAAAAGUUCAAAGAGUACCCUGAUUACUUCGUUAGUUCAACUUAGAGACAUAGGCAACAGCAACUGCAAUGCAUUUGGGCCAAAAAAAAAAAGGGAAAAAAUGAAUGGGAGCAUUAGAGCAUAGAAUAUAGACAUAGGCUAUGUAUAUCCAAGUUUUUGCAUGUUAGUUUUGUUGCCCUUUUUGGCUUGUCAAUUGCUAAUACAUAUGGUACUUUUUUGAACCCGAAAAGGGACAUUCAAUAUCCAAUAUCGUAGAUUGAGUUGAGUUUAUUAAACACAUUGUACAAGUAGAGGACAAUUGGUCUCGUAAUCCUCUUAACAAAUAUUAAAUUAGUAACCGUCCGUUACCGUUGGAAGUCGAUUUAAUGAGUAAAAGGUUGGUUGGGUGGCUGGCUGGCUGGCUGGCUGGCUACAAGGUUCAAGAAAGAAAACAAUGGGUGCCCAUAAAUCUCGGACUAUCCCAGAUGAUAUGUUCAUGCAUUGUCGAGGAACAAAGAUGAAAAUUUGUUGUUUAACAUGAUUCCGAUACCAACUCAAUGUGCACAAUUCAAGGAUGACAAAUUGACAAUUCCUUUCAAACUUUUUAUCUCUGUCGAGAGCCUUCAAUCUUUUGAGAGCUCCAUGGUCCCAUUUGUAAGGGAAUGAUCAGGGGGUGUCACAUGGAUGCAUUAGCAACAGCAACAAGAGCCAAUGUGAGGCAGGUGGAUACACACUUGAGCAAGACGGUGGGGUUUUCCAUUAUAAUUUCGGGCAACAAUAUAUAUAUAUAUAUAUAUAUAUAUUUCUACAUAUAUUUUUUAAUGUAUAUAUAUACAACAUGAAAAUUGUUCAUAUAUAUGUGUGUGUGUGAUAUGGAGUCAAGUUUUAAUCACACUUUUUAGCGCAAAUUUUAUACUUAAGAGCUAUAUAGCCCCCAUAAUCUUCAAUAUUAUUGUCUAUCCUCCUAGCAAUCCUUAGCCAAUGGCAUACGUAGCAUCUAAAAUGAAGGUUCUUAACUCUACGCGGUUCCAUUAAUUGAGGGGAAAAGAAAAAAAAAAGAAAAAAUUGAUGUGCUUUAGAAUCGAAAUUUGUGUGUACAAUCCAAGGACAAAUGGCAAAUAAUGGGUUCCAUUUUCUUGUACAUAGCUGGAUGCGACGUGUAGAAAGAAAAUGGUUCGGAGGACCGGAUGAAAGUCAUUAUGCAAAUGCAGAAUGAUUACUGCGAUUGAAAGAACGAAUCCCAUUCAAGGCAACUUACAGCUCCUGCAUGAGAUUUGACAAAUUUUGAGUAGAAGCCACCGGAAAGUCGGCAACGCAGCCAAUAGCUAGCUAUCAUUUGGCCCAGCCAGGUCAUGGCAAAGCUCAAAACUACGUGGAAACCCAUAUAACGGGGAGUCCUGACUUGUGACUAGACAGAAAGGAGAAGAGAAGACGAGGUCAAAAAGCCCACUAGGAGCCACUUGGAGCUCCAAUUAAAUUGCCACCCAAACUAAUCGUACCAUUUGAAAGCACAUAUUGGAGAGAACGUCCCUACUUCCCUUCAAUAAUAAUCAUGCAAACAAUUCAUCCAUUAUCAUUCCCAUUCAGCAAUCCAGACGUCUAGAUGGUGGAUAGUAUGUAAUAUGUACACGUUGUUUGGUUGGUUUGAGAUAACGAUAUAAGGAAAUGGGAUUCAAAUGUACAUUAUUGGCAUUAUUUGCAAGUUUAAACUUGGAUAUGAGUUGUAUGCUAUCCUCAUGUCUUUCUAAUAUCUAAAAGUUAAGUGAGGGCAUCCAUUUAAAAAAAAAAAAAAAUGACCCUAAUUAGCAUUCCCAGAAAAGUUCAGCGCACUCCAUCUUCUUUUGUAAAGCAAAAAAGGGUUUUUUUUUUUUUUUUACAGUGCUAACAUUAUUGUCUUAAAAAGCUGAAUAAUUAUUUCUACAAAGGUCGAUUCCAUACCUUAACUUAAAAUAUAGGUGCAUGGUAACAUAUAAUUUUACUCUAGAUUUGUUCAAUUUUUCUAACCAAACAAUGAAAAUUACCCUGUGACAAGUGAGCAGGGUGAAAUCAAUAAUAUGUUCCUCUUAACAAGACUUUGUCAAAUUGUCUAGUGCGUUUAUACCUCCGUGUGAUUGACGGACUAUUGUAUGGAGCGAGAUUUAUUCAAUGCACACUCUCGAAUAACAACGGCUGUAGUUUCCCUUGUGAGAAAUAUUUAAAAGAAAAUGAGUCUUUGUCAAAUUGCAUCCCUUUUGCUCAAAUAGUAGUCUCAUCUGGAGAUUAUUUUUCAUCUACUUGCAUGAAAAACAGUUGUUGUCGAAUAAUUACUUGAUGACUAGUCACACUCUUUCAAUUCAGUCUUACAUAAGUAGUUGUCAAGCAUGUUGAACAUUUAAAGCGCCACAAGUAAGCACAAAACCCUCAUACCAAUUGAGCUAGACAUUUUCAAUGCAAAUUGAGAAGCUUUCCCUGUAACAUCUUACCAAUUGUUGUUUUGAUAUCCAUUGUAGAACUUGAUAUGCAUGCAAACGCACACUUGCAUCGGGAAGAAGAAGUGACAAAAGGUCACUUCUGACAAAACUAUAAUAAUUGUACCCAAAGCCAGGAACAAAAAAAAAAAAGAAAUACAGUGAAAAGAUAAUUCCCAUCAUAAUGUACAAAAGUAAUGUGCAAGAGAAAACAAAAAACAGAGAAAAUUUUCCUAUUGGAUUGGAGAGUCCAUAUAAUUGGGGGGUGGAAACUGUAAAAUAGGAAAGGGAAGUAAAAAGGAAAAAAAAAAAAAAAAGGAAAGGGAAGUAAGAGAAAGACUGAAGGCAAUAGUUUCUUGAGGAUAAUUGGGCAUAGAAGACAGUCUGCUGCUUUGUCGGUUAUCUGUCUGGGGGCCCACUCACUUUUGUUUGACCCACAUUUGUUGGGUGGAGCUGACAUUUGAUAAGACAAAGCUGACUAGCAGUCUUUCCCACUUGCAACUUACACACUACCUCAGUAUACAGAGCUAUUUAUUGACCGCCAUUGUUUUUAGCUCUGAAAAUGAAAAGCAUGCCGUCUGAUAAGAGUCACAUUUAGAGGAUAGGAUUAGGAGUAAGAGCAGGAGAAGGUUAGAUUAAUUAUUAUCAUUUGAUAAAAAAAAAAAAAAAAGCAUGCAAAUAAUGCAGCACCAAAGUUCCCUUUAUCUUAUUUAUUUAUUUAAUAACAAAGUGUACAAGUGAAAGCAAAAACCACCGAAUGCUUGUACUUUCCUGAAUGAAGUGUGAAUGAAUACCCAAUUUCGAAGUCGGAAUCUUUUUUCUUUCAUGCGACAAAAUCAAAUUAAAUAUUGAGGUGAACAAACAAAGCCGAGGUAAGUUGGCUUAAUUCAAUUGGUAAGGUCCGACCAAUUUUUCAGUAAAAGUUUGUGUAUUCGAAUUGACAUGAUGAGGAUGAUGAUACUGAGCAAUCUGUAAGAACCUUUGUAAACGAUUUUAUCUCGGCAAUAUACCUUAAUUAUUGAACUCAUUUAAACUUUUUCUUUUCUCUUUCAAAAUUAAAAAAAAAAGGUAGGGUUGACAAGACUCGGACAAGUUCCUAAUCCAACUCAUGUUUUCCACCUUUUUACCAUGUUUUCCACCCGUUUACUUGCCAAAUUUAGGUGUUGACUUAUUAAGAUAUCCCGUCCGCUCCCAUCAUGCGUAUGCUUAGGAAACUUGAUUUUUUGGGCUGUGACUUAGCAAUGUUUGUGUACCUAAAAAGUUUAGGAGACUCUCAUAGAGACUUGAUUUUGUGGGUUGUGAUUUUUUAAACUCUGUGUUGCUAUCGCAACAUGUAACAGAUGCACGUAUGUACAAUCAUUGCUGCGAAGUUGGCGCUGUUCUCGAAGGAAUUAUGGUAAUUCUGCACAAUCCAUUGAGCUCUGCUUGAGAAGCUGUAAUAAUUGGGGGGUUGUAGAGAAUAUCCUUUGGAUGCCAUUCAAAUGGGGAUGAGUACAAAAUAGGACACUUGGUCGCUGCUGCUUGUAACAUUUGUUCGGAUGUGCUUUACUUCCAAUGAACCAGAGCCUUUAUGUGAACGAUCGAUCACUUCUCCUUUUUGUACGAAAUGGACUAUGUACAACAAGCUAACUGCAAAACAUUGGAUAAGAAAUCUGACUACCAUGCCAGUACUUUUUAACCCAAAUGCGAAGGAAAAAAAGAAAGAAACAAAAAGACCAGUUCCAAUGGGAUAUAUAGCUAGUUGUGGAGCAAAUAAUACCGUAACACUUUUUUUUUAUACGAUAUCUAUCUCUCUGUAAGAUAAAGAGACAAUUGAAAAUGUGCGUUUAUAAUGUAAUCAGAUAAAUUUGUACAAAUAAUUUAUUAACCAAACACAUUCAAUUAUUGUUUCAUGAAUCUAAGAACAAAAAAUUUAUUUAUUGUGCAUGAUGUUAGGCUGCCUCGCACAAAUUGACCUUCAAAAAAAAAAGAAAAGAAAGAUCAUUCCAAAUUCUGAUUUCAAAGAAGUAGAGAAGAUUUCGAAGAUAAGCUUCACCACCUCUGUCUCGACAUUCAUGAAACAAAUAGAUAAGGUCAGCAUGCAGGUAUGUGCACAGAGACGAUUCCAUCAGAUUUUUGUGCCGAUUGGAAAUCAUCUAAAGUUGAUGGAGCACUUUAUUUUGCUUACCAAUACUUCUUUCUAACAAGAAUAUUGCAUGGUUCAUUGGAUUUGUCAAAAUAUCAUCAGACAAAACUUUAUGCACCUAACAUUGGAAACUUGAGGCAUCGCACAUGCUUACCUAACGCCUUAGGUCAUAUGCAUAUAUAAUCCCGUCGUCAAACUAUUCUUCAAAUGGAUAUGAACAUCACUUGACCUAAUUUUUAAUCUACUACUAAUAUUUAUGCACUUUACGUUAAGUAAUGACUAAUUGAAGUCAGAUUAGUGGUAGAUUACACUCCUUUUUCUACCACCUUGCUUUGCUCAAAAACUUUUCGCCAACACACGGCAUUAUUCAGCGAAUUCUUCAAUGUACUAAAUUCAAGUCGGUUCUUUUCUUGUUUAUUUAUUUAUUUUUUUGGUUGGUCUUCGGUGAUAAAAUUCUAGUCAAUGACAAUGAAUAAGUUAAACACGUAUGAAAGGACUAAUCAAAUCAUCUUUUCCCUAACUGCAUAAACCAUCGCUUGUACAGGCUCGCUUAAAUUCAAGAAUAACUCAGAAUACUAGCCUAGAACAUAUAAAUAUAUACGUAGUUGGAAGUCUUAUGAGGAUCUAUGUUGCGGCAUAAGUUAAAUAACAUAUAGAUUAUAGACCCUUAAUUCCAACUCUGUAGAACCAGAUAAAAAGUAGCUAGCUAAAUUUUUAAUACAAACUUAAAGACCUCAGCAUCGUACAGCAGCAAUAUGAGUCAUGUUCAGCAUAGGUUUUUCCUUAAUUAGUCAAGAUAAUUUAAUGCACUCCAACCUAUGAACUAACUAGCUAGUACUCAUUCUUAAUCAUGCACAGACCAUAUGAUACGGGAUUAUGUUAUCAGGCUUUAGGAUUAGUGAUUUGCUUACACUAUUGAUGGUGAUAGGAACUAAAGAGAAUGUGGUUGGAACUUACUUACAUUGUCUUUUAAGUUAACGUGUGAUUGCCACUAAGGAAUUCACGAAGCCAGGUAUUUGGUUCCACUAAGUUAUCGUCCGCAUGCAUUCUCUCUGAUCUUCUUUCUUUGGCCUCGAUGGCUUGGACAAAUCCAGUGGAGUUGUUUGAAAAGGUGGCUUGAACUAUAACUUCUAGUAGUAUCCGUGUAGGACAUUUCAUUUUCAGGACUAGGUUUGAUUAGUUCUCAUGUAUGUUUGUGAAGUGACUUGAGCAAGUUAGUCAAUUUAGUUAGCUGAUGAAGCUACGGGAGAAGAAUUCCCAGGCAUGCAAGAAAGGUUCUUUUGAGUUUUGACAGGUAUCUGGAUUUCACAAUCCUGCUGCCAAUGAUAUAUAUAUAUCGAUAAAAACAUCAAACCUUUUAUUAGAUUUGUCAAAAGUAGCAACAAAAGCAAUUGAUUAUUGACACAUGGCAUCAUUUUACUUGUUUCUUGUGCAUCAAUAUUGCUCUCAUUUUAGUUAAUUAACGGUUCUUAUUAAUAGCCAUGAGAUGGUUAUUCUUUAUUAGAAAACCCAAAAAAAAAAAAAGAAAAGAAAAAAUGAAGUGGAGUUGCAGCUAGGAAGAAAACUUAAAGCGGGAAGGGGAAAUUAAUUAAGGGGAUCAGGAAGACAGUGAGUGAGAUGUAAAACAAGGAAAAUCAAGAUCGUAAGUCAGUGAGUUAUACAUAUCAGAUCCUUCAUCAGACAAAAUAAUUAGGAGCAAGCUAAGCUACCAAAGAAUAAGCAAAAAAGGUUAAUGAAUUAGACCUUACACAGUUUCAAUUCUGUCACAGUUGAGAACCAGUAAUAGGUCGAGAUUUUCUUGAUGAGCCCAGGAAUAUUGUGGCGAUGUGAUGACCCUUUUGUCCAUAAUUAAAUAAGUCACGUCUUGUCCAACAAAGUGAAGCAAUCCAAAACUUUUCCUUCGAUUUGUAAUAUCUAAUCCCACACGAAAUUGUCUGGAAUUCUAUUAAUCUUGCCAUCUUUUGGAACUUAAUGCACCUCAGCCUAAAAUGAUUUGACCCAAUUGUAUACUAGAAAGUGUUUCUAGCUUUUAAGUUAUCUCUUCCUCGAUCUCCUGAGACUGGCAACUUUCAUUGAAUUGGAAGAUAUAUAUAUAUAUUUAUAUAUAUAACAGGAAAUAUAUGAUUCUUUCCAUUUGGCGAAUCAAUACUUCUUUUCUUAUACGCUACUUAGUUAGUUGUCUUUCAAUCUGCCCAAAAUUAAGAAAAUGAAUCCCAUUUGCCUCUUUCUUUUCAGAUUCUCCAAAAUUAGUAGAUGUUUUUCCUGAUUACACCCCCUCCAAUUUUAGUAUUCAUCGUGUCCAACUGUGCCUAGAAAUUUAGUUGGUUUUCACGUAAAUUCCUAGUUACAAACACGGUUAAUAUAUAUAUAAAGUUGCACAUUCAUCUUUUCAAAAAAGGAACAAAGUUGUAGGGAUAAUUCUGGCAAUUUUUGUCACUGUAAGUACCGUAAACUGCGAGUUAACUCGCUUCGCUUUCAGUUGAUAGCUGUUAUAUUUAUUACGUUUUUUUUUUUGAAACAUAAUUAGCUCUCCAAACAGCUUAUAUUAACUAUAUAAUUAUAUUUGUCAAAAAAAAAAAGAACUCUUUUAUUUAUUAUAAAUUGGAAAAAUUAACGUGGGUACACUUGCUCUUACAAAUCAACACAAACCGUGUUCCACUAAAACUCAAGUAUGAUAUAACCCUUUUUGACCAAACCCCAUGUGUGUCAGACCCAAAAGGUUCCCCCAAGAAACCUUUUCUUUUUUCUUUUUUCUUUUUUUUUUUGUUAGGGAAGAAAAGAUCACUGAUAUAUUCAUACAUUCAUUCAUUCAAAUCAUUUAGAUUUUUUUUUUUUUUUGAGCAAGAGAAUUUAAAGAUAGUCAACUGUUAUAGUGUAUGGGAUAAUGCUGCAGUGCCCUGAAGGCAAAGGCACUUAGACAUGAAAACAUGACUGGUAGGUUUUCUUAACUAAUAAAUUUUUUAUUCCCAAAACUCAACAUAGCUGGGAAAAUCAUGAGAUCUUAAUUCGUAAAAACAGGAACAUUAUAUUUUCUUAAUCAAGUAAUUAUCUUUUUCUAAAGAACCAUAUUAGCUAGAGAAGUCAUGACUCUUAAGACCUUAAUUGAAUUGUUAUACCAUUUUCUUUUCUCUUAUUCAGUUCUAAAUUUUAGAGUUUCUCUCAAAUCAAAAGGUAGGUUAUAUAUAUACACACACACACACACAAGCGCGGUAAAAUUAUAUAUAUAGGGAUAAUUUCAGAAAUCUCCCCUGAGAUUCUGACAAUUUCACUAAACUUCCUUGAGAUUUUCAAUAUUGCAUUUACCUCCCUUGAUGAUAGAUAAUAACUAUAAUAACCUUCAUAAUUUUUUAAAAGAUUAGCCAUUGAUAAAAAAAAAAAAAAGGGAAAAGAUAACAGAAAAAAAAAACAAUUUUUCUUGACCAAGCCAUAUAUUGUGGCCAAACUAUUUCAGUUAUGACCAUUAAAUUGUAACCUUCAAUCAAAUAUGCUAAUCAAUGGAGACAUCUCCUUCCUUCUAUCACUCAGAUAUGCUACUGAUAUUGAUUAUGAUGGAAGCAAUCAUCAUUACCAACAACCCAAUUAUUUAUAUCAUUGAACACAAAAAAACUACUUGAUAAUAAGAAAGUAUAAUUUGAUAGAUUGUACUAAAACUACUACCCCAAACUUACACUUUGUUGAUGUUUUGUCUGAUUCUUCUGAAUAGACAUCAAACUUGUUCUCAAUAAAAUUGUGUCAAUUCAGAGAAAAAAAUAUAAGCUGAUAUAGGAUAACCAACCCAAAUGUUGAGAGCAAAGGUCAGAAGAAUUUUGGUAACUGAGGGUUUGGCCAUUUGAGUGGGGAAAAGGUAAGAAUUGUGAGUUUUAUAACAAAUGGUUUGAUAGGCAAUAUAUGGAAGAAAUCUAUAGAGAGGUAAAGAUUGUGAAGGUAAGAAUUACAACGAUAGAUUUUGGCACCUAAGAUAAAGAGUUUGUCGGAAAGAAAAAGAAAUGAAAAGAGUUUUUAAAAGUUUGGGUAGAUGCAAAAAAUCAUGGGGAUGAAAAAUAUCCGAACAUUGGCUAAACAAUAAAACUCAUAAUUUUGGUAGCAUACAAGUGUAUUCUUGAUUUUUAAAAAAAUUUACUGGUCAUGCAUAUUAAGGAAAUUUAGAUGAGGGCAAUUUUGGGCAUUCAUAUACUUUUUUGGUCUUGCAUUAUCAAAGUGAAAUCCAAACCUAUAUUUUAGGGGAGGUAUGUGUAAUUUUCAAAACGUGAGGGGAACUGUUUGAAAUUACUAGAAACCUCAGAGGAAGUUUCUGCAAUUAUCCCAUAUAUAUAGAUAUAUAUAUAUAUAUAUAAUUCCUAUUACUACUUCCAUAACCCUAUUAUUGACUUCUAACAUAACUAAACAUUAAGUCGUGACUCCUUGGAAUUACUACUUUAUAACUUAAUAAUAUAUUUACCACUCAAGCAGUAUGUGAUACAGGGAUAUUGCUCGUUAUCCAAUCGCUUUGCUGUUCGAGGGAGUAAAAGCAAUAAGUUGGCGGUUCAAUCCCUUUCUUGCUUUAAUGGAGUUAAUUCAAUCAAAGAUAAAGGAUUCAAAGAUAUAUUCCGAUGUCACAUUAAAAUAAACAUAACCGCCCAAAAAAAAAAAAACAAUUUAAAGAAAGAAGAUUUUGUUCAACUUUGGAUUCAAUCCUCAUCCGACUGAAAGAAAACAAGCCAUCCAAUCAUGCAGGUCUUUAAUUAAAAAAGUGGGUACUACAAAAGCAAGGGAGACACUUAUUUGACUCGUCAAUCUCAUCCUAUAAAUAUAAAGGGCUGUCCAAAUACUUGAGGGAGACACGAGGAAUCGACUAACCAAGGAAUCAUACAAAAGAACGACGGAAAAUGAAUUUAAUAGCUAAGGCUAAUGCCCCCAAUACGUCAAAUCAAAAUAAACUGUUCAACGGCUAAAAACUGCCUUAUUGAAAUCAGCCCUUCAAUUCGGGCCACGUUUACAGGUAGAAUCUACUUUCCAUAAAGGGGUGCCCUUGUCGUCCACUUGAUUAAAACGUGGUAAAUUGACCAUCACCGUCCAGACGACCGACACGUGUCCUUCGCCGCGUUUCUGGGAGCCCAGUUAACCGACACCCGCCUAAAGCUAACGGUCGAACGAAAUCUUUCUUUUCGUAUGGUUAGUAGAUUCAGAUUGAUUCAAAGCCGACCGCAUUUGAUUGGAUCUUUUGCUUUUUCGUGUUGAAAAUUAAGCCGAAAAGCAAAAGCUUGAAUUCCAUUCCAUUUGGAUCAAGCCCCUUAAUCAUGCACCUUCUCUAUUCUUUCUUUUCUUUUCUCUUUUUUUUUUUUUUGGAGGAAAUUUGCACUUGAUUUUUAAUGACGGACAUGCACAAAUUCCUAGGCACCAGAUUUCAAAGGAGAUGCAUUUUAAUCAUGUGGUUCCAUUUGGACUGCUUUUUUUUUUAAAAAAAAUUUCUAUGAAAAAAUAUAUUAUAACAAUUCGAUACAUGUAAAGUGAAAAGAUGAUUGAAAAAUAUAAAUACGAAAAACGUAAAAACUUUUCUCGAAAAACUCCAAUCCAAACAAUGCUGACGGAGGGAGUAACGCUUACGAAUGUGCCUUCUUGAAACGCCAAAUUGACACUUUACUUAAGAUGACGAUGAUGAUAUUGGCCUAAAGGACAACAAAGAAAUAUUGCAUUGAGGUUAAAUCGGUAGGUGUAUAGACUAUCCACCCCACUAGCUCAAAAAAAUUAUAGCUAGUUUCUUUCUCACAGCAAAAUCAUAUUGAUGUGCUAUCACAGCGAGUGAGGAUUCAUUGAAGUAGGACACGAGAGAAAAACUUCUCAAGAAAACAACAUUGCAUAUAUUUUUAAGGGGAUUUUAUGAUGAAAACCAUCUUAAAAUAUAGUAGCGAUCCACUCUUCCUUUUGAACACCUUGCUCAAGAAAUCAUACUCAGUUGCUCUUCCUAUCUUCAAAGAAUAAUUCAUUGUCAUCGCAUUUCUACAUGAGGUUGCAUGCAUGACUAUUAAAAGUUGGAACAAAAUAUCAGCUGUCAUGUGAUCAAAUCAAAAAGGCAACUUUAUCACAGGUGAGUGGUACACUUCACUAGAAAAAUAGGGUGGCAACUUUAAGGCGGCAUUGCUUGCAAAGGAAAGGUAAAUGGGGUGGCUCCUUAUUAUUCCCAUCUCAGACUUUGUGUCGUCCGUGUUGUAAGGCCCAAUAUGUGCACAAAUAUCCAAGCUCCAUUCCAUGACUUCAAGCCUGACAAUCUUUCUCAGGCCUGUCAAGUUAGCCCAAGAGGCUAGCUUUCCAUUUACAAGACAAAGUAGAAGAUACUGUAAUAGAAGGCCUUUACGGAAUAAAAGCUGUAAUCAUCUGCUCAAGUAAUUGCUGUAGUUUGUCAAGAAAAUGUCAUAUCCAUUCAUGUGAAUAAAUCACCGAAAAUAAUAAUAGUGUUCGAAUUGUUUCCUAUCACCAAAAAAUGACACGAUAAUUGGUAUUACGUCGACGGUGAGUCCAACAAAAUCGUUGAGGCACCAUCAAGUAGGCUUCCUUCGAAAAAAAAAAAUUUAUGAUUUGGUUUGGCAUUAGCUACGCACGCGUAAACCAAGUCAACAAAAUUCAGCAUGAUGAGAUUCAGUAAUCCAAGAAAUACGUGGUUGGUUCAUUUAUCCACUACCUGAUCAAAUUCUCUGAUCCCCAAUGAUUUUCGAGGCUAGCGGAUUGGUGGAGAAGUGAUUGGAUUGCAUUGACCCAAUCUUUGCUUUGGGCUUCAAAAUUGUUGUGGUAACAAUCACUUUGCUGGUUGGGGAAAUAGAUUAGACUAGACCAUGUCUCAGGCCUAGAAAAGUUUAACAAAGCCUAGACCUUACGUCCCGCAUUACUUUGGGGUAUACAUUUUCCAACAAAGUAUUCACUAUUUAGCUGUCACAAGCCACGAGUCCGUUUGGCCCCGCGUGAAUGGUCCAACAGUUUGGCCCCGCGUGAAUGAUCCAACAGUAGCGCUUCUUAUCGGUGACUCUUAAGGUUUCAAGUUCGGAGACUUGGGUUCCUUCGCGCACUUAUCGCGUUUGGGUCGGGUUCCAACGCCUGGCCCGAGUCAUAGGGGAUUAGUCGGGCCCGUAAGGAUUGACCCGGACAUCCCUGUGUCGACAAAAAAAAAAAAAAAGAAGCCACGAGUCCAUUUGAAUUCCUCUUUUAGGAGUUCUCGCAAAAAAGACAAAAAGAUAUGUCAUAACAAUUUAAUGUAUACGACGUAGAAAAAUAAUUAGAAAAUAUGUUUAUGAAAGAUGUAAAAGUUUUUCUGCUUUAACUCUUACUAUCAGGUUUUUGGGUCUUCCAUAGGACGCAUCUUUCUUCUCCCUCUUGAUGGGAAUACAUCUAGAUGAUAAAUGUGAAUUUAUUUGCAAGAUCCAUUUUCAGUUAUUUUGUUUCCCUGUUUAUUACAAGGGUCACGAGGAUAACUUAAAGCAAUGCUGUAAAACUUGUAAAUGUAUUCAGCUGGCAACUGGCAUAAUAAAAUCUUUUAACACGAAAAAUCAAUCAAUUUGUGGUGGAGCCAACAAACAAGUGGUUGAAUCUAGUCAAUCGAUGACAUUACUUCUAUUGCAAUUGGAAUAGCUGUGGUUCAAGGAAUCAUUUCGAAUGUUUCAUAUUAGCUAUUUUUUGAAGUGUUUUUGAAAAAUUUUACUAUAACAGUGUAUAUGAAAAAAAUUUUACUAUAAUUUUUUUUUAAAUAUUUGAUAUGUAAUAUGGAUGAAAUGUUUUUUAAAUUAUUGUGUAUUACUGUAAUAUUAUAUUUAAAAAACUUGUUUUUUUUUGAAGAAAUGACCAAUCCAAAUGGAGUUGAUUUGUGAUUAGUAUGAUAGAGAUUUUCAGGACAGAAUCAUUAUAGUGGGUGAUUUGUUGCUAGAUUUAAUUCAUUCUGAUUCGUCCCUAUCCCCUGGUUAACAUACUUGAAUCACUUUCAACUUACCUGUACACACAUGUAAUCACAAUUAUUACACCUUUGCAUUAAUUUUUUUUAAUUAAGUAUUUUUAUCAAAAAAAAAAAAAAAAGAGGAACCCCUUUUAACAAGUGUUUAUUGGCCAAACCAUUUGAAAUAUUGGAGUUGAAUGCCAAUGUGAAAAUUUUCCUUUCCUUUUUUUUUUUUUUUUAUAAAACAAUUUUCUUCAAAUCUAAAUUUAGUAAAAAACAUAUUUCCAAUUGGGGGGAAUACUUUUAGGACAAGCCUACACCGAUUUCUAUUUCUGGCUGCUCUGCCUGGUCUCUCUCAUUAUCCAAUCAGGUCCCACAUUUUUCACCGAUAGUCAACCAGUAACCACCACCAGAUCUGACCGCCUAUUCUUAAAAUCCAACGGCUGAAAACUCCCCUUGACCCACAAAAGGUCACCGCACCACCGCCUGGUGAGUGAGUUGGGAAACACUUGGAGAAUUCAUGUAAUCGAGACACUUUUCCUGUACACUUGAAUGCACAGCUCCAAAAAUAUAAACAAAGAGCUUCACUUUAUUUUAAAUGAAUUCAAUAGAAACUCCAAGAAUCAAAGCCUCAGAAAGAAGAAAUCUGAACUGCUAAUUCUUUUUCAACUUACAGUUCAUGGAUCUUGAAAAGAAGGGUACCCUUUACUUUUUGUUGAUUUCAUUAAGUUUUGCUGCUUUUUUUUUUGUGUUUUUGUUCAUUUCUUUUACUCUUUUAUGAUCUGAUUGGAAUAUCUGAAGUGGGUUUUGAUUUUUGUUCGGUUAUAAGUACUUUUGCUUGUGUUUGAGUGGAAUUAUUGGAACAAAGACUUGAUUUUGCAAGUGGGUUUAUGGGGUUUUGGAUUAGCUUGCAUUUGUGGUUUGUGCAUAUCUGGUUUUUGUGGUUAGAAUUUAGUUAGGCUCCUUACCUGGGCUUUUAAACUGGGUGUUAGUAUUUGUUUCACAAUAAUCAAUUUGAAGAUGGAAAAGGUUGAGUUGAAUUAGUUCUAAAAAAUGAGUGGACUAGGUGCAUCUUAUGACAAGACUUUUCUGUGGUGCAAUUAUGCUUAAGUUCGUGAAUAUCAUUAGAGGGGUAUGAUUUUCAUCGAAGGAAAUUUGACAACCUUAAUGGCAGUCACAACGGAUUAAAUAGGUGAUCAGUCGAGACAAUGUCUAUGUACUUAAUCUGAGCAUUUGUGGAAAUAGUGAAGAGUCUUGUUGUUAGAUGCUGAAUACAGCAGUUUGGAAAGUAAUUCCGGUUAGCAAUGAAGUCAAUGCAAGAGUUGAAUUUUGUUGAUAUUUUGCUUGGCUGUUUGAAGUCUGAUGCAUGAACAGAUGCAGGGAAUUUUAUGUUUUAGUCUUUUGCAUAUUUGGGAAAAUAAAUUUUGUGUGCUAAAAAAUCGUGUAGUACUAUUUUGAAUCUGGAGCUUGUUUCUAAGGCAUGUGUUCUGAUAAGAAAGAACAACAUAUGUGAAUAUCAAUUUGUACUUUUUUAGGACAUUAUUUCAUCUGGUAGUCACUAUAGCUGAGUUAGUACUAUUUUUACUACCUUGAUUUCUAGUUGUGCUAUUAUAGUCUCAUGGCUCAGAAGAAUGAGGAUGAGAUGUAAUUGUUGGUUUUGUUAUUGUGUAUUCUACUGCAGGUGUGUAGACCAGGGACUAUCAGGGGUGGAGACAAUUAACUGAGCAUGGAGUCCUGUAACUGCAUUGAGCCACAAUGGCCUGCUGAUGAGUUGUUGAUGAGAUAUCAAUAUAUCUCAGAUUUCUUUAUAGCGCUUGCUUACUUUUCCAUCCCAUUGGAGUUAAUCUAUUUUGUCAAAAAAUCUGCUGUGUUUCCUUAUAGAUGGGUGCUUGUGCAGUUUGGUGCAUUUAUAGUUCUUUGUGGAGCUACGCAUCUUAUAAAUUUGUGGACCUUUACCAUGCACUCAAGAACUGUGGCCAUAGUCAUGACAGCGGCAAAAGUUUUGACGGCUGCCGUGUCAUGUGCGACAGCUCUAAUGCUCGUACACAUUAUACCUGACUUAUUAAGUGUCAAAACAAGGGAACUAUUUUUGAAAAAUAAGGCUGCAGAGCUAGAUCGAGAAAUGGGCCUAAUUCGUACACAGGAAGAAACUGGAAGACAUGUUAGAAUGUUAACUCAUGAAAUAAGAAGCACUCUUGAUAGACAUACUAUCCUAAAGACUACGCUUGUUGAGUUGGGCAGAACUUUAGGCUUGGAAGAGUGCGCAUUAUGGAUGCCAACACGCAGUGGAGUAGAGCUUCAACUGUCAUAUACUCUUCAUCACCAAAAUCCUUUUGGAUUUACUGUACCUAUACAGCUUCCUGUGAUUAAUCAAGUUUUUAGUACAAACCGUGCAGUAAAAAUAUCACCAAAUUCUCCUGUAGCAAAACUCCGACCUUCUGGAAAGUACAUGCAAGGAGAGGUUGUCGCUGUGCGUGUUCCCCUCCUGCAUCUCUCUAAUUUUCAAAUAAAUGAUUGGCCAGAGCUGUCAACAAAGCGCUAUGCCCUCAUGGUAUUGAUGCUUCCUUCAGAUAGUGCAAGGCAAUGGCAUGUCCAUGAGUUGGAGCUUGUGGAAGUAGUUGCCGAUCAGGUUCCAACUUCCCUAUCGUCUCCUUCAAUUUUGCUGAGCUUUUCGCAUGGAAAGUACUUCAAUUUUGUGAUGUGAUGUAUAUGAGGUUAAAAGGUUGUUGGGAAUAUAAAAUGUGGUUGAAAAAACGUGUUUGUGAUGCAAGCAAAAUAAUACUUGGGAAAAUUUUGUUUCCAAACACACCAGUUAACAUUAGAACUUAAUAAACUUAACUGACUGUUGCAGUCUUGCAGUUAGUACAGCAUAUUGUAAUGAAAACAGGUCAAUGACUUUACAGAAAGUUUUCCUGAUUAAGUAUUACUAAGAUUUUGUUUGAGUAACUAAGCAUAUGUGUGGUUAAUGGACUAUCAAAGCAGAAAAUAUGGGUUUGAGAUGGUUUUUGAAAUUGGCAUUCUCCAAUGAUCGUGGCCUUUUUAAAUAUGAUGCCAGACCCAUAAAAAGGUCUUAAACCAAGUUUUCCUUUCAUGGACUACUUUCGAGUUUGCUUUUGACAAGCUUAUCCAUUUGAUCAGGAGUUACAUUUAGGCUUUCCCUCUUGUUUCUUGCUUAGUUUUUAUCAGUUAAAUGUUCAUAACUGGGUCAAAACUCAAUCUGUGCAUUCUGCACUACUUUUCAUGGAAAAAUAUGAGAUCUAACAUAGGUUUUUUCAAAGUGUAGGGUUAAGCAUUCUAACAUUACUUGUCUGGAUUUAUGAUGAACUUCACACUGUUACAGACCUGCUUUUGAUCAUCUACACCAACUUAUUACUUGUGUACCUACAGCAGCUCAGACUUUGGAUCAGAAUAGUUUGUUUUGGUGACAUAUGGAGUAUAUAACCCACGAAUUUUUGUUAUACCAGGCUGCUGUUCAGAAGUCUGCCCAUUAACACUAUUAAAGAUAAUUCUUAUUGGUCAGUAUAUAAUGGUAGUGCAAUUUAUUGAGAACUAUGCCCAGUAAUGUUCCAAAAGAGAACUCUAAAUAGUUAGUGGAAAAUGACAGACUAUUGAACAUGCGAGCUUCCCUCUCACAAUUUUACUUUCAUUUGUAAUACUAAACAACCUUGUGGUAUGGUGACUAUGUGCUGCAAGUUCUCUUCCUUAAUUCCAUUUAUGAAAUGUGUCUCACCAAAAUUGACUCCCUUCACUGAUGCCUCAAUGCGUGUUCCUCUUUUUGUAGUUUUGUGUUACUUUAUUUGGAUGUAGUUGGCCUCCAAAAUAUGUUUGAGCCAAGAAGUGCUUAUCAUAAUAUCUUGUCCUGACCCAGGUAGCAGUAGCUCUCUCACAUGCAGCAAUUUUGGAAGAGUCAAUGAGGGCUAGGGAUCUUCUUAUGGAUCAAAAUGUUGCCCUUGAUCUGGCAAGAAGAGAAGCAGAAACAGCUGUUCGUGCUCGUAAUGACUUCUUGGCUGUUAUGAAUCAUGAAAUGAGAACACCCAUGCAUGCAAUUGUUGCACUUUCAUCUCUACUUCAGGAGACUGAACUAACGCCCGAGCAACGCUUGAUGGUUGAAACAAUUCUCAAAAGUAGCAACCUUCUGGCUACUCUUAUCAACGAUGUCUUAGAUCUUUCAAGGCUUGAGGAUGGUAGUCUUCAACUUGACAUAGAACCUUUUGAUCUUCAUGGUCUCUUCAAGGAGGUAAGAACAUGAUAUCCAUCAAUUUUUAGUGUUUCUAUGUCAGUUAUGUGUCUUGAACUUUGAGUUUUGUUUCAUAAAGCACCCCUUAUCCAUGGCUGAUUGAGGUGUUUGCUUCUGAUUGCAGGUUAUUAACUUGAUAAAACCUAUCGCAUCUGUCAAAAAGUUGUUUGUCACACUGAGUAUGUCAUCUGAUUUGCCAGAGUAUGCGAUUGGUGAUGAAAAGCGGCUGAUGCAGAUCAUGUUAAAUGUUGUUGGCAAUGCUGUGAAAUUCUCAAGAGAGGGUGGCAUCUCAAUUUCUGCAUCUGUUGCAAAAUCUGAUUCUUUAAGAGAUCCUCGAGCUCCUGAUUUUUUCCCUGUGCUCAGUGAUAAUCACUUUUAUCUGCGUGUCCAGGUACGUUUUGAAUAUACAGGACUAAUAUCCUGUCACAAUCCAAGAAUUCCACUAAGAGACUGAUAAAGGGGUGAUGAUUGUGUGCUCUGUGUAGGUAAAAGACACAGGAUCAGGAAUUAGCCCCCAAGAUAUUCCUAAGCUAUUUACAAAAUUUGCACAGAGCCAGUCAUUAGCAGCUAAAAAUUCUGGUGGUAGUGGUCUUGGUCUUGCAAUUUGUAAGAGGUAUAACAUGUUCCCAUUUUUCUGAGGAGAGUUUUUUUUCAUGUUAUAUGGCUAUUCCAGUUGAAAUGUCAUUUGCAUUUUUCUGAUUGUUGCUUGGACUUUGCUUAUAAGAAUGUAUCACGUAGUUUUUUUUUUUUUGGGUGCUCCCAGGUUUGUUAAUCUCAUGGAUGGGCACAUUUGGCUUGAAAGUGAAGGUCUUGGCAAGGGAUGUACUGCUAUCUUUAUGGUAAAACUUGGACUACGUGGGCGUUCAAAUGAAGCUAAGCUCCAAUACGUGUCCAGAGCCCCUGUAAAUCAUGUACGGACAAAUUUUACCGGGCUCAAGGUCAUUGUAAUGGAUGAUAACGGGUUGGUUGAUUCUGUACCCUUUUAACCUCUAUUGAUAUCUAAGGGAAGUUAUAAGCCAUCUGAUAUUUAUAGUAGUUAGAGUCUUGGUAGGCUAUUAUAGGGCUAAACUUUAACAAGAUCUGAUGUCUAGGCGGUGAGGUGGGCAUAGACUGGGGAAACAGAAACAAACUCAUUGAAGCACAGAUUCACAAUAUAUUGUCUUAUAUGGCAUUCGGUAAGAAUGCAGGGAAAAGGAACGAUCUUAAAUCUUAGAAUCAUUGAAGUUGCAAAAAAUUCCACAUCUUUGUGUCAACAAAUCACAGUUAUUGCGUGACAUGUCAAGAAGAUGUCAAGAGUCAGGUUUCAGCAGCUGAGUAGUUGUGGCUAAAUUAGCAACUUUUUCUUGGAGAGAAGGUUGUACGAUUUGUUACUGAUGAUGGUUACGAAGAUUAGCAAUAUAAUGUGCUUCCUUUUGGUAUUUGUGACCGACACUUUUUUUUUUUUGCGACCAACUGUUAUUGAGAUUUAAUUGUUAUUACUUCCUCAAUUUGGUCUUUAGCUCCAUGUAAUCCAUUGAGUUCACAAUUUUAUGCUUUUGGCUAUGGCCUGUUAGCAAGUCUACCCCUGUUGUUAUCCUUGACAUUAGCUUCUAUUAAAUGUAGAGAAGACUUUUGUUCCUAAAAUUUUCAAUAGCAGUAAUAUUGGUAAAAAUCAAUAUGGCAUAUGUAUAGGAUUCACUUUUAAACUCAGCAUACUAGAUGGUUGGUUAUCAGAGGCCUUGGCAUGAUGCUGGCUUUGCUUUUGAAUCUUAUUUUUGUGCACCUGGAGAGUGAAAUUGGCAAACUUAAUUGCUGCUUGUGUUAUGGGUGAGCUUUAGGUUGGUGGUCCCUGGACUGGAGAAUUUUCCAGCUAAUCUUCAUCACUUGGGGUCUUUGUUUCUUUUUUAAGUUUUCAUAUUGAGAAAAGGAAGGGUUCAUAAAUCUUGGACUUAGUCUUGUCCGAAUUCCACAACAUCAUUGGCUUCAUAAAUAAAUAUCAAGGUGGGUCAGUUAUGCAUCUGUAAU